CGGACGAACGCUGGCGGCGUGGAUUAGGCAUGCAAGUCGGACGGUAGGGCUUUAUCGUAAGAUAGAGUUUGAGAGUGGCGAACGGGUGAGUAACACGUAGGAAUCUACCCUUAAGACGGGGACAACCCAGGGAAACUUGGGCUAAUACCGGAUGAGAGUGCGAGAGAUUGCAUUUAAAAGGAUGGCGAAAGUUGUCGCUUAGGGAUGAGCCUGCGGUCUAUUAGUUAGUUGGUGAGGUAAGAGCUCACCAAGGCGAUGAUAGAUAGGCGGCCUUAACGGGUGGUCGCCCACACUGGGAUUGAGAUACGGCCCAGACUCCUACGGGAGGCAGCAGUGGGGAAUAUUGCACAAUGGGCGCAAGCCUGAUGCAGCGACGCCGCGUGAGGGAUGACGGCCUUCGGGUUGUAAACCUCUUUCGCCAGGGACGAAGCGCAAGUGACGGUACCUGGAGAAGAAGCACCGGCCAACUACGUG
rnacentral:rRNA from 1 species